rnacentral:rRNA from 1 species
CUACGUGCCAGCAGCCGCGGUAAUACGGAAGGUCCGGGCGUUAUCCGGAAUUAUUGGGUUUAAAGGGAGCGCAGGCGGGAGUAUAAGUCAGCUGUUAAAUAUCAGGGCCCAACUCUGUUAUGCAGUUGAAACUAUAUUUCUUGAGUACGCACAGGGAUGGCGGAAUUCAGGGUGUAGCGGUGAAAUGCUUAGAUAUCCUGAAGAACUCCGAUCGCGAAGGCAGCCAUCCGGAGCGUAACUGGCGCUGAGGCUCGAAGGUGCGGGUAUCGAACAGGAUUAGAUACCCUGGUAGUCCGCACGGUAAACGAUGAAUACUCGCAGUUCGGCCUUUUAGGUCGAGUUGUCCAGCGAAAGCGUUAAGUAUUCCACCUGGGGAGUACGCCGGCAACGGUGAAACUCAAAGGAAUUGACGGGGGCCCGCACAAGCGGAGGAACAUGUGGUUUAAUUCGAUGAUACGCGAGGAACCUUACCCGGGCU